UUUCAAUGGGACCUUAACAUCUCUCCUUGUUUAAAAACAAUUUGUGGUUAUGCAAAACAAUAAACUCCAAGUGAAUAGAAAAUAUAUACCAAAACUAUAAUCAUACAUAUUGUAAGAACAAAAGAUAAUGAUUACACAAUUAUGUCUAUCACAAGACAACUGAAGCACAUUAAUAUUGAUUUUAUUUGGUCAGUAGAGAAAAAAGACGGCCGUUAGUUUUCUCGCUUGAAUUGUUUUACAUUGUCUUAUCGGGGACUUUCAUAGCUGACUAUACGGUAUGGGCUUUGCUCAUUGUUGAAGGCCGUACGGUGACCUAUAAUUGUUAAUGUUUGUGUCAUUUUAGUCUUUUGUGGAUAGUUGUCUCAUUGGCAAUAAUACCCCAUCUUCUUUUUUAUAUUGUAUUGAAAAUAACUCGAUAUAUAAGGAAGUUAAAUCAAUCAAUAUUCAAAUGUUGACCUCUAAUUUGAGACAUCCAAAGUCAUCAAACAACAUACAAUCUUCAAAUUUACUCUCCAAGAGUAAGAGGAACAAAAUAAGAUGAACAAGAGAAAGAG
rnacentral:lncRNA from 1 species